rnacentral:misc_RNA from 1 species
AUCAUUCUAACAAAAGCUUCAGUAAGCCAUCAGAAGGAAAUCAAAAAAUGAAAACAUCGAUUUCAACCCCUUCUCUUCAACAAGCAGUUGUAACUGGAGAUAUAGCUACACUGCAGAAGUGUUUUAGAUCAAGAGUUGAUACCAAUAUGUUUGAUGAUAAUGGAGAACCACUGUUGUUUACUGCUAUUGUAAAUAAUGAUAUGGAAACUCUGGUCCUCCUAUUGAGUAAUUCUGAUGUCAAUUUGGCGAGUGAAGAUGGAAGAACAGCUCUCAUGAUUGCUGUCGAAAUGAACGAUAUGAGCAUGGUCAAAAAACUAAUUAAAUCAGGUAUGUUCAUUGAAAAUCAAUAUUUAUUUUUAUCGAACCUUAUCGAAAUCCAAAUAUUUGCCUUUUUAAAAAAAAUACGUAUGUUUGGCAACUAAUUUUUUUGUUUUUAAUUAUAGGUGCUAGGGUAGACAGCAAGGACAAUUCCGGUAAAACACCAUUGUUGUUAGCACUAGAGAAUGGAAAAUUCAACAUUGCAGAAUACUUGAUCAAACAUGGAAGCGACGUCAAUGAAGUCGACCAUCUUGGCCAGUCUGCUCUUUUUUUCGUGGCAAACGCUGAUUGCUCUGGGUCUUCGAAAAUCGUAAAAACCCUUAUCUGUUGUGGAUACGUAUUGAAGGAUUGUGACAGUUGGUUGUGCCCUGACAACUUUACAGGCAACAAAACGAAGGAGUCAAAAUACAGAAAUUUGAUUCAUAAACUGAAAGUAUCAUUUAAAACCAUGUCAAAUUCCAAAAACAUGAUUCUAUGAGAAUUCUAGAAUUAGUCUGUGCCUGUGCAGACUUGUACAUGAAAGCAACAUUCUGCUGAAUGACGUUAGUAUAUCUGCCGAGCUUGGGCUUUGCAGCAUUAUAUUGAGUUAACGGUGAAUCGUGCCACAUCCCUACUAGGACAGAAAAGAUCCAACUGGAAUUUAAUGCGCACGUAAGCUUAACCAAACAUGCUCAAUGUGAAUUGAAAAAUAGAGGAUCGAUUUAAAACAUGUUACAGACAAACUGACUCUAGAUAUGCUACUGUACGAAGCAUUCUUUUCCUUGUCCUGCAAUAGCUUUAGCACAAGGAUAGGAUAAAAUUCAUGCGGAAGAUCUUCAUUACAGCAGUGCAUGUUUUGGAAUUUUUCAAGACAUGCUUAAAAACAAUGGGUGAAUAGUUAAUUCAUGAUUUCGAUAAAAGCUGUCAGUUCUUUAUUUCAACGUGUUUAAAGAUGUCAACAAUAUAAAGAAAUUAAAAUGAGACUAGUAUGCAU